UACGUAGGGUGCGAGCGUUGUCCGGAUUUAUUGGGCGUAAAGCGUGCGUAGGUGGUUCGUUAAGUCUGUCGUGAAAGCCCCGGGCUCAACCUGGGAAUGGCGAUGGAUACUGGCGGGCUAGAGUGCGGUAGAGGAGAGUGGAAUUCCCGGUGUAGCAGUGAAAUGCGUAGAGAUCGGGAGGAACAUCAGUUGCGAAGGCGGCUCUCUGGACCAGCACUGACACUGAGGCACGAAAGCGUGGGGAGCAAACAGG
rnacentral:rRNA from 1 species